GAUGAACGCUGACAGAAUGCUUAACGCAUGCAAGUCUUUGGCGAAGCUGUGCUUGCACAGCCUAGCCAAGGCGGACGGGUGAGUAACACGUAAGGAACUUGCCCUGCAGUCAGGGAUAACAGACGGAAACGACUGAUAAGACCUGGUAAAGUCAGACGGACUCAUGUCCAGCCUGAUGAAAAGAGAUGCUGCAGGAGAGCCUUGCGUCCUAUUAGCUUGUUGGUGGGGUAACGGCCCGCCAAGGCGAUGAUAGGUAGCCGGCCUGAGAGGGUGGACGGCCACAAGGGGACUGAGAUACGGCCCUUACUCCUACGGGAGGCAGCAGUGGGGAAUAUUGGACAAUGGGGGCAACCCUGAUCCAGCAAUUCUGUGUGCACGAUGAAGGUUUUCGGAUUGUAAAGUGCUUUCAGCAGGGAAGAAAAAAAUGACGGUACCUGCAGAAGAAGCGACGGCUAAAUACGU
rnacentral:rRNA from 1 species